GGCUACAUCACAUUGAAACACUAGUUCCCAUAUGAUGUCCGAAGUUAAGCAAUGUUGGGCCUGGUCAGUACCUCGAUGGGUGAUCACUUGGAAAUACUAGGUGCUGUAAG
rnacentral:rRNA from 1 species